GCUCUCCAGUGAUAGCUCAGUCGGUAGAGCAUGAGACUCUUAAACUUAAGGCCGUGAGUUCGAGCCCCACAUAGGACA